AAAUUGCGUUAGGGAUCGCGGCGGCAUCCCCGCAGCACCGCAAGGGAUAUAGCCAAGAGCCCGACCGACG
rnacentral:misc_RNA from 1 species